CACCCUGCUUUUUUAAAACACCCAGAGUAUGGCAGAAACAUUAGGAAUGAGUUAACAGCUGUACUAAUCAAUUUUGUUUUAAGCUUUCCAAAGUAUUUGUCUCCGAAACGUGGUUUGAAGUACAGUGCUUUUGCUUUACUAGAAAGGGAUUUGCUGCUCCAGUCUUAAUUUGCACCAAGGAGAUUUCUGUUUCCUUUAAUUCCAGCCUACUUUCUCUAAAUCCCAGAGCCUCCGUCUAUAAUCUUGGCGAUUUCUUGGAGACCAGGCAAGGUCCCUGCAGACUUGGAGCUAGGGGGAAAAGGAAGACUCAGGUAACUAGUGACUGGUGAACUUGAUAUUGAUACCAGAAAUGGUCAUAGAACAGAUAAUUAAACAGUCAGUCUGAGCAUUGAGAAAAGGAUGCUAUAAUUACUAAAACCCAGUAUGGCUUUAUCAAAAACAAGUCAUGCCAGACGAAUCUCAUUUCCUUUCCUUUCUUUUUUCUUUAUCUGAGUUACUAUCACCACAGGGGAACGCUGUGGGCAUAGUUUACAAACCAUUUAUAAGCCCCAUUUAUUUCAGUGCAACUUAUUUCUAGGCAGGUAUAUUCUGUAUGGAUUGCAUCUGGGCACUAUGACACUCAGAAGUCCUGUUCUGAGCCAAACUUGAUCAAUAGACACAAAACUGCAAGUUAUAGAAGCAAAAGUAGACUGAAAUCAACAGACUUUUAUUUCCUAGUAAGUACACUGAAGAUUAACAGCCUUGCUUGGGAACAAGUGCCCCCUGAGAUCAAUGAAGCCUUAUUCUCAUUCAAGUACAGUAUAGCUCAAUCUCAAAUAUGCUGAAAUAGUGUUGAAUACUGAGGGAUUAGACUACAAUCCUAACCAUACCUCCUUAGAAAUAUAUUCCUCUGAAAUCAGAACUUCAGAUUGUGUGGUACAUAGUUGUUUCCUAUCAAAGGUGGACCAUUCCCAAACCUGGAGAAUGUUUAGAAAUGGAAAAUGCUUGCUGCACAUGUAAGGAUAAAGCUCUGCUUUUAUUUACACAGAUUCUAGCAAAUCACUUGCUUGCAAGGCUGUAACAAGAGAGGCACUUAAGCAAGAAGCAAUUGCACUGGAGUUCCAGGCCAUGCUGUUUGUUCUCUAGCCGAGUGGGUUGUCAAGAUAACCCUUCACAAUUAACCCCUGGUCGCCAAAGGAAUGAUUACAAGUGCAACGCAACUGGAAUUUUCUCAGUUGUCCUUUGCUGAAAGAGAAUUGCGCCAGAAAAUAAUCCUGCUGGGAUACGCCCUGAAAUGUUAACCUAACUUUUCCCAGGACUUUGUUCUGGGUCAGUAUUUCAAAAUUCAAGUUACGGCUACAGUCUUGAGGACGGCUUGUAUUCAGACGUACUUAGCAGAGUCAUGAUGCAGUUAUGUUUAGGCAUUGUACAUGCCAUAGGUCUGAAGCACCUGAUUCCCUCCACCUAACACUUGAAAUUUUAAUGUAUUUUUAAAUAUUUUGUUGGAACCCGCCCAGAGUGGCUGGGGAAACCCAGCCAGAU